rnacentral:rRNA from 1 species
CCUACGGGUGGCAGCAGUGGGGAAUAUUGCACAAUGGGGGAAACCCUGAUGCAGCGACGCCGCGUGAGUGAAGACUUAUUUCGGUAUGUAAAGCUCUAUCAGCAGGGAAGAGAAUGACGUUACCUGAGUAAGAAGCCCCGGCUAACUACGUGCCGCCAGCCGCGGGAAUACGUAGGGAGCAAGCGUUAUCCGGAUUUACUGGGUGUAAAGGGAGCGUAGACGGCGAAGAAAGUCUGAAGUGAAAGCCCGCGGCUCAACCGUGGAACUGCUUUGGAAACUUUUUUGCUGGAGUACCGGAGAGGUAAGCGGAAUUACUAGUGUAGCGGUGAAAUGCGUAGAUAUUAGGAGGAACACCAGUGGCGAAGGCGGCUUACUGGACGGUAACUGACGUUGAGGCUCGAGAGCGUGGGGAGCAAACAGGAUUAGAUACCCUUGUAGUC